rnacentral:lncRNA from 1 species
UUUUCAUUCAAAUGCGCCUUCGAAAAUCAGUAAAAGUCUCUUGAUUUAGAAUCUUAUUCAGGAAAGAUUUUUUAAAAUACGACUGUACUACUAUUAAGUCAUUGAAAUAAAAUUAAUGGUACCAAAGAAAAUGCAGAAAACGAAGAUCAAUUAUCAUAGAGCCAAGGCAUGAAACACUUGAUAAUAAACCUCAGUUUCCAACAUUGAAAACCAACCCCUCAUAUUGUUACAAUAACUGUGUCUGUGAAGAGGUGCAAAAUACAAACCGCAAUAAACUCAACCUUACAGAUGGAGACACAAAGGCUAAUAGUGAUAGAUAACACCAAAUGAAAACAAGAAAAAGUACCCUACAGAAAGCAGAUAAAAGGCCGUUCUAUAACAAUUCUCUCUUCACGAUUCUCAUUUGUUUCUUCUUCUUAUCGCACUAUCCUGUCAUGAUCUUAAAUAUCCUAACUAAAUUAUCCGAGUCAUCCUUAGCUGAGUAGGUUCAAGGUCAAAUUCCUUAAGCAAUUUCUUCUUCAGACAAUUCAACCAACUGCAGUUUAGCAAAAUCACGUCACCGAGCACAGCACCUCUCAUUGAUUACAGUAUGCUCUUAUCUCCUCCUCUGUUGGAAUUUUAUGAUUUCCUUGAGAGUCCAUCUAUUAAACUUAAUUUUAAUUCGUAAUUGACUCAAACCAUUACGAUAUCAUAUUUGUCUUGUUUAGAUUACAA